CUUAGUGUUCAGUUUAUGUUUUAUAAUAAACGAUAUGGACACUUACCACGCUGUGUUUUGGUCCGAUCCCUGCUAGGAAAUCUGCCGUUACAUGAUCACCUUCACCUGAGAGAAACAUUGGGAGUGUUCUGUUUCCAUUUGUUUUGAGUCAAAUCUCACCUGAUUGGGUCUGCUGGAUGAUUAGGACUUCUCCCUAAGGAUUAGCCCUCUAACUUCCCGACUCUGCGAUGAGGUCGACAGUGUGAUAGGGAAGUUAUGGGGAAAGUGACCACAGAUGGUGUCUAGAUACAUGACGGAUAAUUUGACCAAGAACUGAACCUCAACCCCCCCCUAACUGGCUAAAGCAAUGGCGACAAUGGCGUUGAGUAUGGUCCUGCACCACUUCUACCGUGAGACCUGAGUCCGAGCCAGCAACCUGUACACAGCAUCGUCGACGCGAUCAACUGCCUUUUCUCUCAUGCCUUUUUUUCUCUGGAGUGAGCAUGGAGAGAGAUCCUGUCAACUACUUUCAUGCUGCUGUUGUACUGGUAGGGAAAUGGACAAGACAUAAUGGACUGUAAAGGACAAUGGAGGCUCAGGUGAGAGGCAUAAUCAACGGCCAUCCACUUUGAACAUGUGCCAUUGGAAGGACGAACUAAAACACAAUCUGAAGAACAUGAAGACACUCCAGAUGGAGGAGUGCCAGGAGGAGGAG
ensembl:lncRNA